rnacentral:rRNA from 1 species
UACGAAGGGGGCUAGCGUUGCUCGGAAUCACUGGGCGUAAAGGGUGCGUAGGCGGGUCUUUAAGUCAGGGGGGAAAUCCUGGAGCUCAACUCCAGAACUGCCUUUGAUACUGAGGAUCUUGAGUUCGGGAGAGGUGAGUGGAACUGUGAGUGUAGAGGUGAAAUUCGUAGAUAUUCGCAAGAACACCAGUGGCGAGGGCGGCUCACUGGCCCGAUACUGACGCUGAGGCACGAAAGCGUGGGGAGCAAACAGG